UGUCCACAAUAGACCUUAGUUUUCGACGUGUUUUGGUGUGCUGGGGAGUUCUAUUCCGAUUGAAACCGUCCAAAACUGAGGCCAACUGUGAGGCGC
ensembl:ncRNA mir-957 mir-957 stem loop